GUGAGCCUAGUGAUAGGAGACUAUCUAGCUUGGUUCGGAGNAGGAGACUAUCUAGCUUGGUUCGGAGAGCACUUGUUGGGUUUCAGAUUCGUUUUUUGCUAAAUGUUACGGCCUAAAUGCUGAACUAUUGACCCUAC
rfam:Triticum aestivum genome assembly, contig: Triticum_aestivum_CS42_TGACv1_scaffold_500252_6BL